GAAACUGGUGCUAAUACCGGAUACCCUUCUUUGCUUCGGGGCUAAGCAGGAAAGGUGGCCUCUUCAUGAAGAGCUACCGCAUAGGGAUGAGCCUGCGUACCAUUAGCUAGUAGGUGUGGGUAACGGCCCACCUAGGCAACGAUGGUUAGCGGGUCUGAGAGGGUGACCCGCCACACUGGAACUGGAACACGGACCAGACUCCUACGGGAGGCAGCAGUGAGGAAUAUUGCGCAAUGGGGGAAACCCUGACGCAGCGACGCCGCGUGAGUGAGGAAGGUCUUCGGAUCGUAAAGCUCUGUCAGAAGGGAAGAAGUGUUAUAUGGUUAAUACCCAUGUAAUUUGACGGUACCUUCAGAGGAAGCACCGGCUAACUCCGUGCCAGCAGCCGCGGUAAUACGGAGGGUGCGAGCGUUGUUCGGAAUUACUGGGCGUAAAGGGCGCGUAGGCGGCCUGAUAAGUCAGGUGUGAAAGUCCAUGGCUCAACCGUGGAAGUGCAUUUGAAACUGUCAGGCUUGAGUAUCGGAAGGGAGUGUGG
rnacentral:rRNA from 1 species